rnacentral:rRNA from 1 species
AUUGAACGCUGGCGGCAGGCCUAACACAUGCAAGUCGAGCGAGCGGCGGACGGGUGAGUAAUGUCUGGGAAACUGCCUGAUGGAGGGGGAUAACUACUGGAAACGGUAGCUAAUACCGCAUAACAUAGGAUGUGCCCAGAUGGGAUUAUCGAGUAGGUGGGGUAACGGCUCACCUCGGCGACGAUCCCUAGCUGGUCUGAGAGGAUGACCAGCACCAUGGGAACUGAGAAACGUUCCAGACUCCUACGGGAGGCAUCAGUGGGGAAUAUUGCACAAUGGUCGCAAGCCUGAUGCUGCCAUGCCGCGUGUAUGAAGAAGGCCUUCGGGUUGUAAAGUACUUUCAGCGGGGAGGCUUUACCCGCAGAAGAAGCACCGGCUAACUCCGUGCCAGCAGCCGCGGUAAUAC